CUCCAAAAGAUGAUUUCAUUUUUCUAAUUCUUUCCUCUAUUCAAGCUCUGAUGUCCAACGAUGAUCCCUCCUCCUGGUUGAUGAAGGUGUCGCUCAUCAUCUGGACUCCUCAAUUGCACGAGUUCUUUCUUACUGUGGUGUCCGCUGCUGCUGCCAUGGUAUGGUUACUGUUAUUGACGAGGCGGCUGCGACUAUGGGUUUCAUCUGUGACUAAGUUGUGAUGGUGGUGGUGGUGUCCGGAGGAGAAAGUACUGAAAAAAAGUAGAUUGGUGUAAAGAAUUGAGCAGCGGCCACAUAGAGGACAUGCACCGAGACUAGAAAAUCAGACAGCACAGCACCGGUGCUCAAGAAUAGAUUGGUUCGGGAAGCUGGUGGUGUCAGGUGGAAUUCCAUGGUCGAUGAUGUGAGCAAAGCAAACCUGAUCUUUAUUUCUAUUUUGUUAUUAUUUUUUCCAGAUAACGAUUACAUCCGCUUUUGAUGUUGUCUUGCUUUGUUUUAGGAUGCAUUAUCUAAUUCGUUAUUAUUAUCGUCUUUCAGGACAAAGCUCUAUACCAAGCAAAGAAUCGCAAGAACAAUGAAGUUACUGCAGAAUCUAUUGAGCCAUCAUCCUUAUCCCUGGAGAUGCUAGUGUUUCAAGAUGAUUUCAAUCCAGCUAGCAGCAAACAUUUAUACAUGCACUUGGGAAGUUAUUGCAAAAUCUUUUGAACUAGCAACAAACAUGAUUACAUGCACUUGGAGAAGCAGAUUUUGAUGCAUCAAUUUAUUUCCCUAUAAAUCAAUUAGUCAAUAUUACCAUGGAGUUGAACAUCUAUUCAACUAAUGCACUUCAAUUAUAGUUU